GUCGAUGUAGUAUAAUGGUCAGUAUCACCGCCUGUCACGCGGUAGAUCCGGGUUCGAUCCCCGGCAUCGGCG
rfam:Klebsormidium nitens DNA, contig: KFL_685.